rnacentral:tRNA from 1 species
UAAUUAGGCAUGCGUGGUAGCUUGUAAUGUACUAUGACUAUUCCUUGUAACCUGGUGGU